UACAGAGGUCCCAAGCGUUGUUCGGAUUCACUGGGCGUAAAGGGUGCGUAGGCGGUCGGGUAAGUCUGGCGUGAAAUCUCCAAGCCUAACUUGGAAACUGCGUUGGAUACUAUCCGGCUCGAGGAAUGGAGGGGAGACUGGAAUACUUGGUGUAGCAGUGAAAUGCGUAGAUAUCAAGUGGAACACCAGUGGCGAAGGCGAGUCUCUGGACAGUUCCUGACGCUGAGGCGCGAAAGCCAGGGGAGCAAACGGG
rnacentral:rRNA from 1 species